rnacentral:rRNA from 1 species
CUACGGGAGGCUCCAGUGAGGAAUUUUGCGCAAUGGGGGAAACCCUGACGCAGCAACGCCGCGUGAGUGAAGAAGGCUUUCGGGUCGUAAAGCUCUGUCAGAUAGGAAAAAAGUUCAUAUGUAAAUAGCUUAUGAAUCUGAUGGUACUAUCAGAGGAAGCACCGGCUAACUCCGUGCCAGCAGCCGCGGUAAUACGGAGGGUGCAAGCGUGUUCGGAAUUACUGGGCGUAAAGGGCGUGUAGGCGGUAUGGUAAGUCAGAUGUGAAAGCCCUGGGCUUAACUCAGGAAGUGCAUUUGAUACUGCCAUCCUUGAGUAUGGGAGAGGAGGGUAGAAUUCCCAGGGUAGAGGUGAAAUUCGUAGAUAUUGGGAGGAAUACCCGUGGCGAAGGCGACUCUCUGGACCAAUACUGACGCUGAGACGCGAAAGCGUGGGGAGCAAACAGGAUUAGAUACCCCCGUAGUC